CCCUUGGCCUGCGCCUCCCUGCAGGGCUCCCCCAGGGUUCCUUUUGAAGCCUCUCCAGAACAGUUGAGCCCACUUUUCUCCUCCACUGCGGGCUGGGGACACAACAGGCAAAGCAGAUCCCCGACUUCAUGAAGCACGCAUUGGCGUCUCAAAUAUUUAAACCACGAAUUCACCAGUGGAGUAUUAGUAGUUAGAAAAGAAAAGAAUUCCAAGGAUUGAGCUUUGGAACAUUCCAACGUGUGGUGGUGAGAGAGAUGAGGAGUAAAGGACAAAGGAAAUUAAGAUGCCACUAAUGAGUGGUUGAAGGUCACCCCAUGAGGUGUUCACCGCCUGAAUUUCAUGGAUGGAUGCUGAGCAGGUCCUGGCUGUCCUGUGCCUCAGUGCAGCGCUACCCAAAGUGUGAUCUCCGGAUGGCAAACUCAU